rnacentral:rRNA from 1 species
ACNUGCGGAAGGAUCAUUGUCGAAA